UACGGGGGGGGCAAGCGUUGUUCGGAAUUACUGGGCGUAAAGGGCUCGUAGGCGGCCAACUAAGUCGGACGUGAAAUCCCCAGGCUCAACCUGGGAACUGCGUCCGAUACUGGAUGGCUUGAAUUCGGGAGAGGGAUGCAGAAUUCCAGGUGUAGCGGUGAAAUGCGUAGAUAUCUGGAGGAAUACCGGUGGCGAAGGCGGCAUCCUGGACCGACAUUGACGCUCAGGAGCGAAAGCCAGGGGAGCAAACGGG
rnacentral:rRNA from 1 species